rnacentral:rRNA from 1 species
AUUGAACGCUGGCGGCAUGCCUUACACAUGCAAGUCGAACGGCAGCACGGGAGCAAUCCUGGUGGCGAGUGGCGAACGGGUGAGUAAUAUAUCGGAACGUGCCCAGUCGUGGGGGAUAACGCAGCGAAAGCUGUGCUAAUACCGCAUACGAUCUAUGGAUGAAAGCGGGGGAUCGCAAGACCUCGCGCGAUUGGAGCGGCCGAUAUCAGAUUAGCUAGUUGGUGAGGUAAAGGCUCACCAAGGCGACGAUUCGUAGCUGGUCUGAGAGGACGACCAGCCCAACUGGAACUGAGACACGGUCCAGACUCCUACGGGAGGCAGCAGUUGGGAAUUUUGGACAAUGGGCGAAAGCCUGAUCCAGGAAUGCCGCGUGCAGGAUGAAGGCCUUCGGGUUGUAAACUGCUUUUGUACGGAACGAAACGGUGAGCUCUAAUACAGUUUGCUAAUGACGGUACCGUAAGAAUAAGCACCGGCUAACUACGUGCCAGCCGCCGUCGUAACAC